GGUCGCUACUACACUCCAGCCAUAAUGUCAGCUGCCUUUUAGCGGGUUGUUCUCAUGGGGUAUUGCGCUGCUGUUCUCAUGGGGUAUUGUGCCGUUCUCAUGGUGUUCUCAUGGGGUAUUGCACUGUUCUCGUUCUCAUGGGGUAUUGGGCUGUUCUCAUGGGGUAUUGGGCUGUUCUCAUGGGGUUCUCAUGGGGUUCUCAUGGGGUAUUGGGCUGUUCUCAUGGGGUAUUGGGCUGUUCUAUUGGGGUAUUGCGCUGUUCUCAUGGGGUAUUGCGCCGUUCUCAUGGGGUAUUGCACUGUUCUCGUUCUCAUGGGGUAUUGCACUGUUCUCAUGGGGUAUUGCACUGUUCUCGUUCUCAUGGGGUAUUGUGUUGUUCUCAUGGGGUAUUGCACUGUUCUCGUUCUCAUGGGGUAUUGCACUGUUCUCAUGGGGUAUUGGGCUGUUCUCAUGGGGUAUUGGGCUGUUCUCAUGGGGUAUUGCACUGUUCUCAUGGGGUAUUGCGCUGUUCUCAUAUUGCGCUGUUCUCAUGGUGUUCUCAUGGGGUAUUGGGCUGUUCUCAUGGGGUAUUGGGCUGUUCUCAUGGGGUAUUGCGCUGUUCUCAUGGGCCGUUCUCAUGGGGUAUUGGGCUGUUCUCAUGGGGUAUUGGGCUGUUCUCAUGGGGUAUUGCACUGUUCUCAUGGGGUGUUGGGCUGUUCUCAUGGGGUAUUGGGCUGUUCUCAUGGUGUUCUCAUGGGGUAUUGCGCUGUUCUCGUUCUCAUGGGGUAUUGGGCUGUUCUCAUGGGGUAUUGGGCUGUUCUCAUGGGGUAUUGCACUGUUCUCAUGGGGUAUUGGGCUGUUCUCAUGGGGUAUUGCACUGUUCUCAUGGGGUAUUGGGCUGUUCUCAUGGGGUAUUGCACUGUUCUCAUGGGGUAUUGUGCUGUUCUCAUGGGGUUCUCAUGGGGUAUUGCACUGUUCUCAUGGGGUAUUGCACUGUUCUCGUUCUCAUGGGGUAUUGCACUGUUCUCAUGGGGUAUUGGGCUGUUCUCAUGGUGUUCUCAUGGUGUUCUCAUGGG
rnacentral:lncRNA from 1 species